UGGGCUGCAAAAGAAGUAGGUAGUUUAACCUUCGGGAGAACGCUUACCACUUUGUGGUUCAUGACUGGGGUGAAGUCGUAACAAGGUAGCCCUAGGGGAACCUGGGGCUGGAUCACCUCCUUAACGAA
rnacentral:rRNA from 1 species